AUUGAACGCUGGCGGCAGGCCUAACACAUGCAAGUCGAGCGGAUGAAGGGAGCUUGCUCCUGGAUUCAGCGGCGGACGGGUGAGUAAUGCCUAGGAAUCUGCCUGGUAGUGGGGGAUAACGUCCGGAAACGGGCGCUAAUACCGCAUACGUCCUGAGGGAGCAAGUGGGGGAUCUUCGGACCUCACGCUAUCAGAUGAGCCUAGGUCGGAUUAGCUAGUUGGUGGGGUAAAGGCCUACCAAGGCGACGAUCCGUAACUGGUCUGAGAGGAUGAUCAGUCACACUGGAACUGAGACACGGUCCAGACUCCUACGGGAGGCAGCAGUGGGGAAUAUUGGACAAUGGGCGAAAGCCUGAUCCAGCCAUGCCGCGUGUGUGAAGAAGGUCUUCGGAUUGUAAAGCACUUUAAGUUGGGAGGAAGGGCAGUAAGUUAAUACCUUGCUGGUUUGACGGUACCAACAGAAUAAGCACCGGCUAACUUCGUG
rnacentral:rRNA from 1 species